AUUAACAAGAACAACUUAGGAAUGGCAGCUUCCAUUGAUGAGCUUCCUACUUUGUUCUCCUGAUGGAAAACAGACAGUUGUUUCCCUGUUGAAGACUAGCCACCCUGGAGAGGUGAACAGUUCACUCUCAAGGCCAUAAUGACUUGAACACUGGCUGUCUAGAAACAGAGAGGCGGGCAGCGGCAGACAGGAACAGAGGUGGAACAUCUUCCUCCAUCAGGAGCUGCACCUCGGAAGUGUCCUUAGAUGUGGCUUGGAAUUGGGAUCCUUCCAUUCCCCUCAGGAGAGUCAGCCAAAAAUAUCAACAGCCACAAUUUAUUGGACGCCUUCAGGAAAAAUGUCAAAGCCAGGCAUUCGUCCAAAGUGAGUGGUCCUGCUUCACGUCCCGGCACUCCUUGUCCCCU
rnacentral:lncRNA from 1 species